GCCACACAAUGUUUAUUUAUUUACAUAUAAAACAUAAUAGUUUUACAUUAAGGUCUAUGAAGAAUUUUAUAUACAAAGAAUCAAACCAAACAAACAAUCUAAAAGAAAAACCAACAUUUCAUCAACUUUCAUCACCAGCCCAAUUACUCUUGAGUUUAGGCCCAGUAGGCCCAUCUUCACCAUAAACUUCAUCAGGAAUCUUCUUCACAAAUUUAACAAAAGCCUUUUUCAAAAGCCCAGGCAAUAUCCUCUCCACACUCUUAACUUCAUCAUCAACAUUAUAAUCAAUCUUCGGCCCCCACUUCCUGAAAUACUUAACCCACGGCGGCUCCACCACUCCUCCGCCGUCAUACUCCGCCGCAAUCACCUCAUACCCUAACCCCGUAUCAAGCACCUUCUUACCUUUCCCCGUAUCAUUCCUAAUCCCAACCCCAUCGUCUCCUUGCAACACCAACCCAGGUUUCGGAUACAUCGCGUGUCCAUGUAGCGAUGCGUACGCCACAAACUUGUUAUUUCCUCCGUCUUGGAACUCCAAAUCGCAAGCAUCGAUCCAAAUUCCACCACUAUGCUGCGAUAAGAACACUCUCCAAAGCUCUCCGGUGAAAUUACUGAUCCGUAGCGUCGUGUGUUCCCAAUCUCCAAUGUGUUCUCCGAUUCUACCCAACGGUAGAUUUACGAAUUUGACCUUGGCUUUUGCUGGUCCAUUGAAAGGGUAAAAUAUCCAGAUUGAUAUAUCUGUGAAUGUUGCUCCGAGCAUUGGUUUGAUAUGAAGGUACACUUUUGUGCUUUGUAAGUCUCCUUUUUUGACUCUCUCUUUACCAUUUUUGUCUAUAGGAAGAUCUAGCCAGUAUGAUCCAUCGUUUGAUCCUCCUUGUGGAAGAUUAGAACCGUUUGAUUCGAUAGGGAUUGGUUUCGAUUCUUCGCCUUUCUUGUAUAGUAAUGCUCCGUUGUUGAAGUACCAAGUGACAGAGGAAGGUAGAUAUUCUUCGUCUGGAUGGAAAUAGAUACAUGGAGAAAAAGUUUGGAACAAUUCUUCGAUUUGGGACCCAUUUGGCAUUGUAGAGAAGUCGAGUUUCGUGUUCUUUAAGCAAGAUAAUGAUGGAGGCGAGGAGUUUUGGGUUUGCCAUGUAAAUGUACCUACAUAGACUCCUGUAGCUUGUGUUCCUCUUGUGGUUGGUUUUAGAUUUGAGAUGUUGACUCCGUUUGUGCCCCAUAUCCAUGUAUCAGCUUCACAUUGUUCGGUUAAAUCUGAUCGGAUGCAGCGUAGUUUGUCUAGAGGUGGUUUUUGUGAGUAGUUUGUGACUAUUAGGCCAACGGCUUGAUAUCCAUCAGGAGGAACGGGUUGCCAGAAGUAUCCGGUUCCGUCUUGUUUAAUUUUGAGUGACUCGGUGUUUCCUACGAGGGUGUAAUCUACUGGUGGUUUUAAGGUGUUGCUUGAGAGAUCUCUAGCUGUGAGUACCCAACCGAAAAGAUUACGGUUGUUUGGUUGAGCGUAGUAGCCAAGGAUGGAGAAACCGGAAGGGAUUGAGGAUGGUUCAAAGAAUGUAGCUCCGAGAUUGUCUGGUCCUCCUUCAUAAGUGGACCAAACUUUGUUGAAUGUCGAAACUUGACUAACUUCGAGACCACCUCCUAAGUCAAUGGUUCCUUUCGCAAAACCAUCACCUGAUGAUGCAAGUGAAAUCAAGAUUAUCAAAACUAAUUGGGAGACAGAGAGAGAGAGAGAGAUCAGUAAGAACCGAUGAUAAUACAAACCUCGAGUAAAAGUAGGUAACGGUGAAGGAAACUUGAAUGCAGCAUCGACGGGAAGUGCUUUGGGAAGCUUCUUUGAUACAUCUUCAUGAGAUGGAUCAGAGGUUGAAAGGCAGUUUCCCAUUUUUGGGAUAGCGGAACAUAAACAGGAAGAUUGAUAUUUAAACAGAGGAAACUUGUUUGUUUUUUUCGUUUUUUGUUAAAACAGAGGAAACUUGUAGUCAUGGGUUAUAUAGAAAUGCAGUAUCUUGGUGUCAAUUACUUUACUCAUCAAGAAUAUAGAAAUAAGAAAGAGAGGAUA
rnacentral:lncRNA from 1 species